rnacentral:lncRNA from 13 species
AGGCAAAUUGUUCAAUUUGUAGUUGAAAGACCUGCUGCCUUCUGCUGUUCCUGUGCUGCAUGAAUAACUCGGUGAUAUAUCUCUUUGUUGAAUUUUCCUGUGAUGUUUCUUAAAAUAGAAAGUUUAUUUAAAUUCAGAAUAUAAGCUUAGAAAUGGCAUGCAUCACACACUUAUUUCUGUUUAUCAGGUUGGUUUAGUAAUAAGAGUUUGGUUUUUGAAAUACAAAUAGAAAAUCUGAAAAUCGUUUUUGUGAUACAGAGCAAAAUAACAUGGCGUUGGAGUAAGGUUAUUUUUAGAAAUUUAAAAUAACGCCACAGUAAAAUAGAAGAAUCUGAAGACAGAAAGAGAAGAAAAGCAAAAGUUGCUUUAUUUUUGAUUUAUCUUACUCCUUUUAGUCUUUUGUUGUUCAUAAAUUUGAAAGUUACAUACCUGGUUUGCUUAGAUUAUUUAAGAAUGUGGAGGCUUCGGCCAAGGUCAAUGACAGUGUCCCCAUUGUCUUCCCUCUAUUAAGAGAAGACUUUGAGAGAUGAGGGAGACAGUGUUGCAACUGCUCCUGGCAUGUUCCAGUGUGAUGUCCAACAGUGUCAUCCACUCCUUGUGAAGUCUGAGGUUGCAAAAGAACUAUGAUCAUAUGAGGAUCAUCCAGAAUUCCAACUCCAAAUUCUCAGGAAAACAGGACCUUUAUGUGAGAGGAGCAGGUUCAGGUACCACAUUUCCUGCCCUUGUGCCCACCCUCCUGCCUGU